rnacentral:rRNA from 1 species
CAACUUUCAGCAAUGGAUCUCUUGGCUCUCGCAUCGAUGAAGAACGCAGCGAAUUGCGAUAUGUAAUGUGAAUUGCAGAUUUACAGUGAAUCAUCGAAUCUUUGAACGCACAUUGCGCUCCU